rfam:Salmo salar isolate Sally breed double haploid chromosome ssa07, whole genome shotgun sequence.
UGCACUCACUACUGUAAGUCGCUCUGGGUAACAGUGUCUGCUAAAUGACUAAAA